rnacentral:rRNA from 1 species
UACGUAGGGGGGCAAGCGUUGUCCGGAAUCAUUGGGCGUAAAGCGCGUGUAGGCGGCUCGAUAAGUCUGCUGUGAAAGUCCAGGGCUCAACCCUGGGAUGCCGGUGGAUACUGUCGAGCUCGAGUCCGGAAGAGGCGAGUGGAAUUCCUGGUGUAGCGGUGAAAUGCGCAGAUAUCAGGAGGAACACCAAUGGCGAAGGCAGCUCGCUGGGACGGUACUGACGCUGAGACGCGAAAGCGUGGGGAGCAAACAGG